GUCUCUCGCUGGUGCUGGCACAAGAGCUUGGGAUCCGUCUCCUCUUUCGCCUCCUGCACCUUGGGAGCCCCGGGCUACUCUCUCACAGCCCCUGUUGCCCUGUGAUCUGUAGGUCCUUGGGGACGCAUAGUUAAGGUGCCAGGACAUCCUGGAAGCUGGGAAAUGAUUUCUUCCAGACCAUGGCUGGAGAAGGAAAGAAGAUUGUUGCAGUGGCAGGACCAAGGUCAAAUGAGUUAUAGCCAAGUCUACAGUAAGAUGUGGCAGUAUUCUGUUUUGAAGCCGGGACCAUGAUUGGCAAGCUUGCCACUUGGUCAAGUGCUCACCCUCUGAAAAUGUCUUCCUUGGUCUUUGCCUCCAGCUGGGUGCCACAAACUCUGAACUGGAUUUCAAGGCUUUCAUGAAUGCACUUACGUUUGCUGUGGCAGCUGCAUUAUGUCGUGGGGGAUGUGGAUGCAGAACCUCACAUUCUGUCGUCUUGCUUAUGUUACUCUCCUUUAUGUUUCACUUUCUCAAAUGAAUGUCAAGCAGGUGAUUUUCAGAUUCAAAAGUUCUAAAAUAAAUUGCUCAAAUUUAUACAUUAUGUAAGCUGUUAAUAAAAUUUCUUGUAGGUGCUACAUAUUUGUUAAAAUUUUUGGUUGUAAUUUUAAGCUCACUGUAGGCAGAAAGGAAUCAUUAAGAUUUCUAUUCUUUUUUAGUCUGUAUCUAAAUGACCAUAUAUUUUAA
rnacentral:lncRNA from 1 species